GGGGGCUGUGUGUGUGCGAGUGUGUGUGCGUGUGUGUGAAUGUCCAGGGCCCAGAGGGGCCGGCCGGUGGAGACGGGCUUGCAAACCUCCCCCAAAGACUGCAGCUGCUAUGCUCCAGUGCAGACAGACAAUCGGACAGGAAGCCUUCACCUGUGGCUUGGUGACCACUUGGACUGGCCAGUUCUUUCCCUCCAGCCCAUGUCUUGCAGCACAUUUCCAAGUGGGAAAGUCAGUUCCUGGAAUAUCAGGACGAGGCGCCCUGGGGGCUCCACCAGACACUGAGAGUGCAAGGGAAGCUGGCUGCAGUGCUGUGGGGACUCACAAGCCACCUGAACAGAGGACCACUGAGAAGGAGCUGAGAGGACCUCGGCCGACUGCCAGGGAAGACGCGGGGUCUCCUGUCAAAGCCAGGUGACAGGCCGUCCUGGAAGCAGACCCUCUGGCCCCAGUCAAUAUCUUAACCACAACCUCACGAGAGACUUGGAGCUGAGAGACCUAGCUCAGCCAGGUUCCUGGCCCAAGGCCACCGUGUGAGAUAAUAAAUGCUUGUUUCAAGGUGAUAGACAACAUGCAGCUAAUUAAAGCCACACUCUUCUGUGUUUA